UACGUAGGGUGCGAGCGUUUAAUCGGAAUUAUUGGGCGUAAAGAGCUCGUAGGCGGUUUGUUGCGUCGGCUGUGAAAUCCCGAGGCUCAACCUCGGGUCUGCAGUCGAUACGAGCAAACUAGAGUGUUGCAGGGGAGACUGGAAUUCCUGGUGUAGCGGUGAAAUGCGCAGAUAUCAGGAGGAACACCGGUGGCGAAGGCGGGUCUCUGGGCAACAACUGACGCUGAGGAGCGAAAGCGUGGGAGCGAACAGG
rnacentral:rRNA from 1 species